rfam:Gossypium hirsutum cultivar TM-1 unplaced genomic scaffold scaffold4616.1, whole genome shotgun sequence
GGUUAAAAAUAUUGUUUAUUUUUAUUGUUAAAAAUUAGUGUAGGUAAUGAAAAGCAGUUACAUAUGGUAUGUCACGUAUAUCUCAUGUCGAUAUAUAAAGACUAAAUUUUAACAAUAAACAUGGAUGAGAUUUUAACG